CGGGAUGGACGAACCUCUGGUGGAUCGGUUGUCGCACCAGCGGCAUGGCCGAGUAGCCAAGUUUGGAAGGGAUAAACGCUGAAGGCAUCUAAGCGUGAAGCCCCCCUCAAGAUGAGAUAUCCCAUAACACAAGUUAGUAAGACCCCUUGAAGACGACGAGGUUGAUAGGGCAGAGGUGGAAGUGCGGUAACGCACGCAGCUGACUGCUACUAAUAGGUCGAGGGCUUGACCUG
rnacentral:rRNA from 1 species